rnacentral:rRNA from 1 species
GAGUUUGAUCUUGGCUCAGAUUGAACGCUGGCGGCAGGCCUAACACAUGCAAGUCGAGCGGAUGACGGGAGCUUGCUCCUUGAUUCAGCGGCGGACGGGUGAGUAAUGCCUAGGAAUCUGCCUGGUAGUGGGGGACAACGUUUCGAAAGGAACGCUAAUACCGCAUACGUCCUACGGGAGAAAGCAGGGGACCUUCGGGCCUUGCGCUAUCAGAUGAGCCUAGGUCGGAUUAGCUAGUUGGUGGGGUAACUGGCUCACCAAGGCGACGAUCCGUAACUGGUCUGAGAGGAUGAUCAGUCACACUGGAACUGAGACACGGUCCAGACUCCUACGGGAGGCAGCAGUGGGGAAUAUUGGACAAUGGGCGAAAGCCUGAUCCAGCCAUGCCGCGUGUGUGAAGAAGGUCUUACGGAUUGUAAAGCACUUUAAGUUGGGUAGGAAGGGCAGUAAGUUAAUACCUUGCUG